rnacentral:rRNA from 1 species
GAUCAAAUCAAGCGCGAAAAGGGCGUUUGGUGAAUGCCUUGGCAGUAAGAGGCGAUGAAGGACGUGAUACUCUGCGAUAAGUCAUGGGGAGCUGAGAAUAAGCUUUGAUCCAUGAAUUUCCGAAUGGGGCAACCCACCUGACAGUUUGUUAUAAUUGCUCUUCGGAGCAGCUUAUAACGGGCUGAAACAGGUACUUAUAGACUGAAUACAUAGGUUUAUAAGAGCAAACCCGGAGAACUGAAACAUCUAAGUACCCGGAGGAAAGGACAUCAAUAUGAUACUCCCCUAGUAGCGGCGAGCGAACGGGGACCAGCCGAGCCAUGAGUGUGAAUAGAACGUGUUGGGAAGCACGGCCAUAGAGGGUGAUAGCCCCGUAUAUGAAGCAUGAUUGGACGUAUUAAGUAGGGCGGGACACGUGAAAUCCUGUCUGAAGAUCGGAGGACCACCUUCGAAGGCUAAGUACUCCUUACUGACCGAUAGUGAACCAGUACCGUGAGGGAAAGGUGAAAAGCACCCCGACGAGGGGAGUGAAACAGUACCUGAAACCGAACGCCUACAAUCAGUCGGAGCUUGACUGGACUCUAAUGACAAUCUGCAUCAGAAAUGAUGCUUUAUAUAGAGAUGAGGAAAUGAAUAUGUCGGAUCUGGCCGUUGUGACGGAUGGAACAUUCGCGGUUGUCGGCCUCGUUCUGGGGCUGAUCAACAUGGGGGUGAACCAUUGCCCGAAUGAUGGCUGCUUUGCCAGGAACGAGGUGACGCCUUAUCUUGGCCUGUCCGUUGGCGAUCUGGUCUUCCAGGAAGACAGCGUCGGUGAAGAGAUCUACAUCCGCAAGCAGACGGGGAUGGCCCGCGGGCCGUUCCAGUUCACCUACGGUGCCUCGAUCACCGACGAGGGUGGUCUGUGGGUCGGGAUCGGCAACACGACGACAUAUACGACGCCGAACAACCGGUGGUUCGCACAAUUCCACUCGAUGCCCGGGCUUUACGCCCGCGGCGGCGAGGAGGAUCUGGGCGGUCCGAUCGAAUGGCGUUCCGGCAUCGAGCUGGGAUACCAGAACCGGGAGGGUGUCCGCAUUGGCCUUGGCGCCGACCAUCGGUCGAACGCGGGGAUCUACAGCGACAACCCCGGCAUCGAAACGGUUCAUUUCCGCGUCUCCAUCCCGAUGAAGUGAUUGUCAUCAGUGUCCAGUCUUGUGACGGCGUACCUUUUGUAUAAUGGGUCAUCGACUUGGUCUAUCUAGCAAGCUUAAGCCGUUAGGUGUAGGCGCAGCGAAAGCGAGUCUUAAUAGGGCGCAUGAGUUAGAUGGAUCAGACCCGAAACCGAGUGAUCUAGGCAUGACCAGGCUGAAGGUUAGGUAACACUAACUGGAGGGCCGAACCCACACCUGUUGAAAAAGGUCGGGAUGAGUUGUGCCUAGGGGUGAAAGGCCAAUCAAACUCGGAGAUAGCUGGUUCUCUGCGAAAUCUAUUUAGGUAGAGCGUCAUCCGAAUACCCUCGGGGGUAGAGCACUGGAUGGGUAAUGGGGCCUCACCGGCUUACUGAUCCUAACCAAACUCCGAAUACCGAGGAGUACUGGAUGGCAGACAGACAGCGGAUGCUAACGUCCGUUGUCGAGAGGGAAACAACCCUGACCUACAGCUAAGGCCCCUAAUUCAUGGCUAAGUGGGAAAGCAGGUGGGACGACCAAAACAACCAGGAGGUUGGCUUAGAAGCAGCCAUCCUUUAAAGAUAGCGUAACAGCUCACUGGUCUAAACAAGUUGUCCUGCGGCGAAGAUGUAACGGGGCUCAAGCCAUGAGCCGAAGCUUAGGGUGUGCAGCAAUGCACGCGGUAGCAGAGCGUAGUGUGACAUAGUUUCAUGUCUCUUUAGCUCAUUUAUUGCGAGACCAACGCGCUCAAGUAGCGAAGCGGUAGCGCAAAAUAUAAUGAGUGUCGGAGACACGAAGCUUUCGAUGAAGCGGGCGCGUGAGCGAUCCCGUGGAGAGAUCACUAGUGAGAAUGAUGACAUGAGUAGCGACAAACAGUGUGAGAGACACUGUCGCCGAAAGUCCAAGGGUUCCUGCUUAAAGCUAAUCUGAGCAGGGUAAGCCGACCCCUAAGGCGAGGCCGAAAGGCGUAGUCGAUGGGAACCAGGUUAAUAUUCCUGGGCCAGAUGGAAGUGACGGAUUGCGAGGGUUGUUCAUCCUUAUCGGAUUGGAUGGGCCGUUUAGCAGUCCCUGGAAAUAGCUCCAUCGCUGGAUCGUACCCUAAACCAACACAGGUGGACUGGUAGAGAAUACCAAGGCGCUUGAGAGAACCACAUUUAAGGAACUCGGCAAAAUACCUCCGUAAGUUCGCGAGAAGGAGGCCCGGUGUUCACGCAAGUGGAUGCCGGGGGCACAAACCAGGGGGUGGCGACUGUUUACUAAAAACACAGGGCUCUGCGAAGUCGCAAGACGACGUAUAGGGUCUGACGCCUGCCCGGUGCCUGAAGGUUAAAAGGAGGGGUGAGAGCUCUGAAUUGAAGCCCAGGUAAACGGCGGCCGUAACUAUAACGGUCCUAAGGUAGCGAAAUUCCUUGUCGGGUAAGUUCCGACCUGCACGAAUGGCGUAACGACUUCCCCGCUGUCUCAAAUGUGGACUCAGCGAAAUUGAAUUGCCUGUCAAGAUGCAGGCUUCCCGCGGUUAGACGGAAAGACCCCGUGCACCUUUACUACAGCUUCGCACUGGCAUCAGGAUUGUGAUGUGCAGGAUAGGUGGUAGACUUUGAAGCAGGAUCGCCAGAUUCUGUGGAGUCAUCCUUGAGAUACCACUCUUCGCACUCUUGAUGUCUAACCGCGGUCCGUUAUCCGGAUCCGGGACCCUGCGUGGCGGGUAGUUUGACUGGGGCGGUCGCCUCCUAAAUCGUAACGGAGGCGCGCGAAGGUUGGCUCAGACCGGUCGGAAAUCGGUCGUUGAGUGCAAUGGCAGAAGCCAGCCUGACUGCGAGACUGACAAGUCGAGCAGAGACGAAAGUCGGUCAUAGUGAUCCGGUGGUCCCAAGUGGGAGGGCCAUCGCUCAACGGAUAAAAGGUACGCCGGGGAUAACAGGCUGAUACUGCCCAAGAGUCCAUAUCGACGGCAGUGUUUGGCACCUCGAUGUCGGCUCAUCUCAUCCUGGGGCUGGAGCAGGUCCCAAGGGUACGGCUGUUCGCCGUUUAAAGAGGUACGUGAGCUGGGUUUAGAACGUCGUGAGACAGUUCGGUCCCUAUCUGCCGUGGGUGUAGGAUACUUGAGAGGAGUUGCCCCUAGUACGAGAGGACCGGGGUGAACGUUCCACUGGUGGACCUGUUGUUGCGCCAGCAGCAGUGCAGGGUAGCUAUGAACGGACAGGAUAACCGCUGAAGGCAUCUAAGCGGGAAGCCCCCCUCAAAACAAGGUAUCCCUGAGAGCCGUGGUAGACCACCACGUCGAUAGGCCGGAGAUGUAAGCGCAGCAAUGCGUUCAGUUGACCGGUACUAAUUGCUCGAUAGGCUUGAUUUGAUCCAG